rnacentral:lncRNA from 1 species
AUGUUUUAGAUUAUUACCGUUAACGAACAUUGAGUGUUGAAUGUUCAUUCAUCUUUUGUAAGAGGGCUUUUGUAAUAAAAAUUAAUUAAAAAUGCACUCUUUAAGUCAUGCCUUUUAUUUAUCUAACACACCAUAGUUUCCCCUCAAAUCUUAUUGUUUUGUAUCCCAGUAGCCAGUUUUCUAUUAGACACUCACUCAAAUGUCAGUUUGAAUUAGACUUAUGUUAGUUAGUACUUGUAAAGUUUUAGUAAAUUAGAUUUUUUUUUUUUUUUUUACAUAGUUUAUAAGAAGUUUGUUAUUUUAGUAAAUUUAACUUAAAAUGAGACAUGUUGCCUUAGCAAAUUGUUAUUAUUGUUAUUUGUAUUUUGUGGUUUUAGCUUUAGCUGCUGGUAUCCCUGUCCUGUAAACAGGGAACUUGAGCACAUAUCUGAGUGUAGAUCACGUGAAUGUGUUGGUUGUGUAACUCGUGAAAGACGUCUUUCUCCAGCUGUCCCGAGUGCUGCCAGAGCUGUGACUGACUGCUGGAAACUCAGCUUCAUCAGGCUCUCUGGCGUCUCUCAGCAGGAGCUCCAGGAAACAUUUACACCGCUUUCAAGAAGAAUUUAUUACGCAACUCGACGGUCGCUCCCACGGAGGAUGUCGUGCGGCUCGUUUUUCUGGGGCAUCGUCUGGCUGCUGGUGCUGCUGUUUCUCGGCUGGCCCUUGAGCAUUAUGCUGGGGGGUCUGUACGGCCUCGUCGCCCCUUUCACCGUCUGCCUGGGUCUGGACCGGCUGGCCGACCUGCUGAUGGAGGGGGCCAAUCUGGGCAGAAAGUGUGCCCAGAACAUGAGGCAUGGCAAAGCGCUGUGCUGAGACCAAUAGCCAAGAAGAGUGCUCAGCCGUAUUAAUAGUCAACAUGAACUGUUUUUGACAGUUUACUGUGCCUUUUAUUCUCUGUGACUAGACCACGAUGCUUUGUUAAAGCCUUAGUAUCACUUUCUUGCUUCUCUGUAUCUCUUUUUCUUAGGCUGCUUGAAUGUGAAAAUUGACAGUUUUCUGGUACUGAUGUCUGAGUUCACAAUGUUGAAACACAUAAGUAUACUUAUAUUACAAGAAGAGUUUGUUAAACACUCUUCUCUAGAGACUUCAUGAGACCACCUUUGAAACCUUUGUGCGGUCCAGGACGCAAGAUGCAGAUCUUCAAACCAGCCGCCGAGUCUCCAUACAGGCCACAAAACAGUCCAUUUCAGGUCAAGAAAGUGCAGAAGUAAAAGUUUGUAUCAGUACAUUAUUGUGCAUUAUUCUGUUUGAAUCAAUUUGUCAACUAAUUUGUUGUCAAGGUUUUUGAUAAAUUAGCUCCACACCUGUUUCUGUUUCUGUUCUCUGUGUUUUUUCCACUAUCAAUUGGAUUUAUGUUUGGUAGUGUGGAUUAUUAAAGGUCUCUUGGAUGAUACUCCUUUGUUGUGCGCAUAGUUUACCACACCC